rnacentral:misc_RNA from 1 species
AGUUUUUGAUAACACACCGCCAUUUUGGAUGGUGUGAUUUCCAAGAGAAAAAGUUUUAAGAGAUUUAUUUAAACAUGAAUCCCAUGAUGUGGCCAGGAGCACCUUUGACCAAAGCUUUGCACAUGGUGCAGAAUCAAAUGACAUCUGCAUACCCGUAUGCGGCACAGACAGGGAUAGAUGAAUACGGCCACCCCCAGCAAGUGGUGGUCACUAGUCAGCCUGUCUCAGUGGCGGCCUCAGCUGAACAGGCAGCCACAUUCAAAGCAGACUCUGCCACCUACCCCACCACCACAGUCGCCGCCAAUGGUGGUGUGGAACAGCAGACGGGACUUCCACGUGCAUACCCUUAUGAAGAGAUGCUGGCGGGGAUCAACAAGCAGACAGACUUGGAGGCUGAGCAGUCCUCCGCUCAACAAGGAACAACGACCACCCCCAACUCCGUGGGACCAAAACGUCUUCAUGUGUCAAAUAUCCCCUUCCGUUUCCGGGAGGCCGAUCUUAAAAGCCUGUUAGGGCAAUUUGGAAAAAUCAUCGAUGUCGAGAUUAUUUUUAAUGAACGUGGAUCUAAGUGAAGGUGAACAGUUAAUGAUAAAGUGGAAAUUCACCCUAUGUGGGCCUCAUUUCUGGUCGUAGGUUAACAAUGCCACUGCUCGAGUUAUGACCAAAAAAUCUGUGGCUGCACCCACUAUCCCAAAUGCGGCAGCUCUAAGAGGUGUGGCACUUACACGGGGCAGGGCCGCGGCAGUGGCUGCUCGCGGUGCUUAUAAUGCCGCCGCUCUAGCAGCCACCGCAGCUUUCCGACAUACAACACCACUGGCAACCGCAGCAACUGCGUUGCCUUUAGCUGGUGUGUAUCAGGAUCCCUUUUUAGCCACAUACGCAGCAGCUGAUAGAUACCAGUUGGUGACAUCCCAACCCUAUCCCACAGCAGCAGCAGCCUAUGCUCCAGGUGCUCGCUACGCUAUCCCAGCAGCCCUUGCAUCGCCAGGCACAUACGCUGCCGCAGCUGCUGCAGGCCAGUUACAGCUAGCGGGAAGAGAGUACACCACAGCGACCACUGACCAGUUACUUGGUCACAGUAUUGGACCCGUAGCCGGUUAUGGAGCCACGUUGUACAGAGGUGCUUACCAGCGGUUCACACCUUACUGAGACGAGAUACGCGGGGACUCAGUCGAGAGGUGACAGGGCUGGCAGUUGCUAAGUGAAUGUCAUGUGACCAAUUAUUCUCCACCUUCCUAGAUUCUCUGGCUGUGCUGGACACAUUCAUCUGAUCAUCCAAUGCAAAUGGGUGAUAGUGAGGAAAAAAAAUCGAGUAAAGAGGAGAAGUAUUGUGCAAUUAUGUCAUCAGUGCUGUCAUUGGUGCUGUCGUAAGUGAUGACUGAUUAUCAGCACUGGUCGAUCUACUUCCUGUUACCGUACUGCCAUAUUGUAACUUCCAGCUUUGUUUCAUGGCGAAAGCUUCCAAUCAAUCAUCAAAAGCAAAAAUCUGAAGAAAACUUCAUAAAUCACAUUCAUUCACCUAUUUAUAUUUAUUUUUCAAAUCAUUUCUAUGAUCAUAUUUUUAUGAUUUUAAUUAAAAUUUUUUUUCUUUUGGUCAAAUAAUCAAAAUGAUAGCCUUGCUGUAGAUAAAUUUUCAAUUCAUUGUUGCUGUUAAUUGCUUGGAAGUUUUUUUUUUCUGUCAUGAAAUGUGCUAUAGAUGCCAUGCCACAGAAUCUUAGGAACGGUCAUUUGUUU